AGAGCGAACGCUGGCGGCAGGCCUAACACAUGCAAGUCGAGCGCGUGUAGCAAUACACGAGCGGCAGACGGGAGAGUAACACGUGGGAACGCGCCCUUUGGUUCGGAAUAACUCAAGGAAACUUGAGCUAAUACCGGAUAAGCCCUUACGGGGGAAAGAUUUAUCGCCAAAGGAACGGCCCGCGUCCGAUUAGCUAGUUGGUGAGGUAACGGCUCACCAAGGCGACGAUCGGUAGCUGGUCUGAGAGGAUGACCAGCCUCACUGGGACUGAGACACGGCCCAGACUCCUACGGGAGGCAGCAGUGGGGAAUAUUGGACAAUGGGCGCAAGCCUGAUCCAGCCAUGCCGCGUGGAUGAUGAAGGCCUUAGGGUUGUAAAGUCCUUUUAACGGGGAAGAUAAUGACGGUACCGUAGAAUAAGCCCCGGCUAACUUCGUGCCAGCAGCCGC
rnacentral:rRNA from 1 species